AUGUGUUUUUUUUGUGUGUGUGUGUUGAAUUUCUAACGAAAUUUGUUCUUUGAAUAUAAAAAAAACCUUGCCACGCCAGUGAAAUAAAGUAAAGAUUUGAAUGUGAAUGAAUAAAUAAAUGGUGACAUCUUUACACACAACAACAAUUUCAUCGUUUUGAUCUUUUUUUGUGUUUAAGUAAUUUUUGUGACUUCAAUCUUUGUAUAUUUAUCACCAAAAAAAAAUCCCAUCAUCAUCAUUCUGUUCCUACUGCUUUUGUUUGGAUUAUUCUCGACAUUAUGAACAAAUUUUUCUCGUUAUUUUCAUCUUAUCCAUAUUAAUUUCAAAAAAUAUUUGAAAUUCAAACAACAAACGACGAAUGAAUCGCAAAUAAUGGCAAUGUAUUCGUCGUUAUCGAUUAAUGGUGCGAAAAAGAAGAGAGAAUGGUGGACAAACAAUGACAAUUAUGAAAUAAUAUUGAUGCCAUCAACAUCGUCUAAAGUGAAAGCCAGACGAUCAUUUAAACCACAUUUGGAACAAAUGGAUAAUCAAACCGAAUUAUCACGUGAUAAUGAUGAUGAUGAUGAUGUUGUAAUGGAUAAUGUUUGUCAUAAUCAUCAUCCAGAUUAUAG